GUCGGUAGUAGGUGAUAGUAGUGGUCGGUAGUAGGUGAUAGUAGUGGUCGGUAGUAGGUGAUAGUAGUGGUCGGUAGUAGGUGAUAGUAGUGGUCAGUAGUAGGUGAUAGUAGUGGUCAGUAGUAGGUGAUAGUUGGUCAGUAGUGGGUGAUAGUAGUGGUCGGUAGUAGGUGAUAGUAGUGGUCAGUAGUAGGUGAUAGUAGUGGUCAGUAGUAGGUGAUAGUAGUGGUCAGUAGUGGGUGAUAGUAGUGGUCGGUAGUAGGUGAUAGUAGUGGUCGGUAGUAGGUGAUAGUAGUGGUCGGUAGUGGGUGAUAGUAGUGGUCGGUAGUGGGUGAUAGUAGUGGUCAGUAGUAGGUGAUAGUAGUGGUCAGUAGUAGGUGAUAGUAGUGGUCAGUAGUAGGUGAUAGUAGUGGUCAGUAGUAGGUGAUAGUAGUGGUCAGUAGUAGGUGAUAGUAGUGGUCAGUAGUGGGUGAUAGUAGUGGUCGGUAGUAGGUGAUAGUAGUGGUCAGUAGUAGGUGAUAGUAGUGGUCAGUAGUGGGUGAUAGUAGUGGUCGGUAGUAGGUGAUAGUAGUGGUCGGUAGUAGGUGAUAGUAGUGGUCGGUAGUAGGUGAUAGUAGUGGUCGGUGGUAGGUGAUAGUAGUGGUCGGUAGUAGGUGAUAGUUAGUAGUGGUCGGUAGUGGGUGAUAGUAGGGGUCGGUAGUGGGUGAUAGUAGUGGUCAGUAGUGGGUGAUAGUAGGGGUCGGUAGUGGGUGACAGUGGUAGUUGGUAGUGGGUGAUAGUUAGUAGUGGUCAGUAGUGGGUGAUAGUUGUGGUCGGUAGUAGAUGAUAGUAGUGGUCGGUAGUGGGUGACAGUGGUAGUUGGUAGUGGGUGAUAGUUAGUAGUGGUCAGUAGUGGGUGAUAGUAGGGGUCGGUAGUGGG